CAGCCGCCGCGGUAAUACGUAGGGUGCAAGCGUUAAUCGGAAUUACUGGGCGUAAAGCGUGCGCAGGCGGUUCUAUAAGACAGAUGUGAAAUCCCCGGGCUCAACCUGGGAACUGCAUUUGUGACUGUAGAGCUGGAGUGCGGCAGAGGGGGAUGGAAUUCCGCGUGUAGCAGUGAAAUGCGUAGAUAUGCGGAGGAACACCGAUGGCGAAGGCAAUCCCCUGGGCCUGCACUGACGCUCAUGCACGAAAGCGUGGGGAGCAAACAGGAUUAGAUACCCGUGUAGUCCCUGUCUCUUAACA
rnacentral:rRNA from 1 species